UACAGAGGGUGCGAGCGUUGUCCGGAAUCACUGGGCGUAAAGGGCGCGUAGGCGGCCCGGUAAGGUUGCGGUGAAAGCCCGGGGCUCAACCCCGGGUCGGCCGUGGCAACUGCUGGGCUGGAGCACAGUAGAGGCGGGUGGAAUUCCGGGUGUAGCGGUGGAAUGCGUAGAGAUCCGGAAGAACACCGGUGGCGAAGGCGGCCCGCUGGGCUGUUGCUGACGCUGAGGCGCGACAGCGUGGGUAGCAAACAGG
rnacentral:rRNA from 1 species